rnacentral:rRNA from 1 species
GUGCCAGCAGCCGCGGUAAUUCCAGCUCCAAUAGCGUAUAUUAAAGUUGUUGUGGUUAAAAAGCUCGUAGUUGAACCUUGGGCCUGGCUGGCCGGUCCGCCUCACCGCGUGCACUGGUCCGGCCGGGCCUUUCCCUCUGUGGAACCCCAUACCCUUCACUGGGCGUGGCGGGGAAACAGGACAUUUACUUUGAAAAAAUUAGAGUGCUCCAGGCAGGCCUAUGCUCGAAUACAUUAGCAUGGAAUAAUAAAAUAGGACGCGCGGUUCUAUUUUGUUGGUUUAUAGGACCGCCGUAAUGAUUAAUAGGGACAGUCGGGGGCAUCAGUAUUCAACUGUCAGAGGUGAAAUUCUUGGAUCAGUUGAAGACUAACUACUGCGAAAGCAUUUGCCAAGGAUGUUUUCAUUAAUCAGGAACGAAAGUUAGGGGAUCGAAGACGAUCAGAUACCGUCGUAGUCUUAACCAUAAACUAUGCCGACUAGGGAUCGGACGGUGUUAUUCAUGACCCGUUCGGCACCUUACGAGAAAUCAAAGUGCUUGGGCUCCAGGGGGAGUAUGGUCGCAAGGCUGAAACUUAAAGAAAUUGACGGAAGGGCACCACCAGGGGUGGAGCCUGCGGCUUAAUUUGACUCAACACGGGGAAACUCACCAGGUCCAGACACAAUAAGGAUUGACAGAUUGAGAGCUCUUUCUUGAUUUUGUGGGUGGUGAUGCAUGACCGUUCUUAGUUGGUGGGGGUGACUUGUCUGCUCGUGCGAUACGAACGAGACCUUAACUGCUAAAUAGCCCGCAUUGCUCCGGCAGUGCGCUGGCUUCUUAGAGGGACUUUCGGCUCAAG